UUCUCAUGGAACAACACAAAAAAUCACCAGAAAAGAGAAAAGCACAAACGAUUCUAGCUGAAGAUAUGACGCUUCUAGUCCAUUGAGGUGAUUUUUAAUAAACAAAUAAAUCACUUCUUUUAGCUUUUUAAGUUUUUCUCUUUCAGAGGCGGGUCUAAAACAAGCCGAAAAAGUCACAGAAGCGCUCUACAAGGCAAAUGUUUAAGGACUAGGUGAACUGAACUACAACUAAAUCCUAUCGUUAAGAUUUUUCCAGAGCCUGGACUAUCCAUUCUUGAUCUGGCACUAAAAGCUUAAUGUUUUACAACAGAGACUGAUACGAUGAGAAUCAUCACAGCUGGAGGGUUCUAUAUCAAGCAAUAGCGAACUCAAAACUUCGCACUAACAUCACACUAACUCAUCACCACAAACAUCCGAUACCAUUUCUAUCUAUUAGUUCAAAAUGUUAAAUGUCUCCUUUUUGUUGGCAAGGAUGAGCAUAUGAAUAAAAACAAUUUGUUUAGCUUAUAUCCAUAUUCAAUUUUACAUUAAUUAAAAGUCAUUAAUAAUAAUAUUGUAUUCUUUUUUGUGAUAAAAAUAAAUAAUUUGAAUCAUUAAACAUGUA